CCUACGGGCGGCAGCAGUGAGGAAUAUUGGUCAAUGGCCGGAAGGCUGAACCAGCCAUGCCGCGUGAAGGUCAGUGCCCUAUGGGCGUUAAACUUCUUUUGUGCGGGAGAAAUAAUGGUCACGUGUGGCCAGACGAGAGUACCGUACGAAUAAGCAUCGGCUAACUCCGUGCCAGCAGCCGCGGUAAUACGGGGGAUGCAAGCGUUAUCCGGAUUUAUUGGGUCUAAAGGGUGCGUAGGCUGUGAGGUAAGUCAGCGGUGAAAUGCCCCCGCUCAACGGGGUGAAGUGCCAUUGAUACUGCCUGGCUUGAAUGCGGAUGCCGUGGGAGGAAUGUGUGGUGUAGCGGUGAAAUGCAUAGAUAUCACACAGAACACCGAUUGCGAAGGCAUCUCACGAAUCCGCGAUUGACGCUGAUGCACGAAAGCGUGGGUAUCAAACAGGAUUAGAUACCCUUGUAGUC
rnacentral:rRNA from 1 species